GUGGGGAAUAUUGGACAAUGGGCGAAAGCCUGAUCCAGCAAUGCCGCGUGAGUGAUGAAGGCCUUAGGGUUGUAAAGCUCUUUUACCCGGGAUGAUAAUGACAGUACCGGGAGAAUAAGCUCCGGCUAACUCCGUGCCAGCAGCCGCGGUAAUACGGAGGGAGCUAGCGUUGUUCGGAAUUACUGGGCGUAAAGCGCACGUAGGCGGCUUUGUAAGUUAGAGGUGAAAGCCUGGAGCUUAACUCCAGAACUGCCUUUAAGACUGCAUCGCUUGAAUCCAGGAGAGGUGAGUGGAAUUCCGAGUGUAGAGGUGAAAUUCGUAGAUAUUCGGAAGAACACCAGUGGCGAAGGCGGCUCACUGGACUGGUAUUGACGCUGAGGUGCGAAAGCGUGGGGAGCAAACAGGAUUAGAAAACCCGGUAGUCC
rnacentral:rRNA from 1 species